AACAACAUAUUAAAAUAUAAACAUUCAAAUGUUGUCUCGUGAUGUAAUCACAACCCAUAAAUCUAUGGGGAUCCGACUAUUUUUUUUGGACGAAAAAUUCCAUGCUCCUCCUUCUUGACUCCAAAUCUUAACCCUCCCUUGAUACUGUGUAUCAACAAUGGUGCGCUGAGCUUGUAACAAAGGUUGUUUUACCAGGAUCAUCGACUGUGUCUGAUGGGUAAUCUAAUUUCAAGAAGACUGGUGAUAUUUGUGAAGGCGUUUGUGGAAAGAGUCGAUCAAAAGCUUGCAUGUAUGCCGAUUGGAGAAUGGAGGAGAAAAUGAGGUUGAGAGGAAGUUUGUGUUGGGCAAAGAUGGCCCCUACGUGGAAGCGGCAACAGGCCCUCUUAUUCUAUUGCAGGGGGUACCAACCCGUGAGCUUUCCGAAGGCAGAGUCAUAGGUACACCGCUUCCACAUUUUCUCUUUUCAGCUACUCAUUUUCUAGAUUGAUUGGUUCUAUGAAUUGGGACCCAUUUUAUUUCUAUACCUGGAUGAUUGAUUCGUCUAUUACACGUGCACGCAAAGUCCGACUUUUUAUUAGAGCAUUUCAGUACUAGCCAAAGUUGUUUAAUUAUUUCGAAUUUUAGAAGGGAAAUGUUGAUUGAACAUUAGAAUAAAAAAUCAAAAGAACCAGCUUUCGUGCUCAGAUGCACAUUUUAUGCAUCCUCACUACAUUUAUUGUCACAUCACUGUUGAGCCAUCUUAUCAACUAUCAUGUUUCACUUUAAUUGAGAAAAUGUCUCUUGAAACCAUUGUUCCGCAAUUCGUGAGGCAUCUUAGCAAAGGAUUUGCCAAUUAGAAGGGUCGUUAAUGGAUUGCAAUGUUGUACUUGGUUAUUUUCAUUUUCCUUGCUCUACUAAGGGCAUUAUUUUCCUCCUCUUUCUGUAAGCAUACUGCUCUUGUCUUUUUUUAUGAUCUGAACUGUGUGUUGUAUAAGAUGAGAGUUAGUUCUAUUUUGACUCGUGCAAGUGAGUACCCAAAUUAGUAAAGCAAAAGGAGUCAUUGCAUAACACUUCUUUCCUCCAAGGUAUCUGCCACACUUUAAUUAUUUGUCAUAUAUUUGGUAUAAAGUAAUUAGAAAGGUUUCAAAUGUUGGUUUAGCUAAUGUUUAUCAUAUUGGUUCCUGAGAACUCUUAUCUCUUAUUUAUACAUCGUGUUCGUUUAGUGAUAUAAUCAUUUGGUUUCAUGUUUAAGCUUUCAUAGUGACAGUUUUGCAAAGUUUUUUCAACAUUGAAUUCACCAGUUGCUACCUAAUUUUUCUUCUAUGAUGGAAAUUUCAUUUAUCCAACAACAAGUAGGAUAACCUGCUUCUGCAAAACUGGUGCAGAAUAAGGCAACAUAUUGCCAUCGGUUGUAAAACAUCGUAUAGGAUGAACAAUAAUGUAAAUAAGAACAGAAGGUUAAAUAGUAAGAGAAAGUAUUAAUGGAGCAUGGAUUCUCUGUUGUUGUUUUAUACUUUUGCAUCUAGUUUUUCUCUUGAUUAGUAUGAACUCUUGAGUUAGCCUUCAAGCGCACAUAACUAAAUUGGGAUUGCUGCUUUGUGGUAAUGACAUGUCAUUUGUGAUUUUGAGAUAGUGGCUAACUAAACACAGAUUAACCUUAACAUGACCAACUGAAUUAACAAUGUCAUCUCUCUGGCUCCAUUUAUUAUGGAUAAAAAAUGGAUGAGAAGGUUGUUGCUUGAACUUGACCACAAAUUUUGUUAAAGAGUUACUCGUUUCAGAUUUGUAAUAUUGUUCACUUCUUCACUUCAUUUCCCAGUUUGAGUUUGAAGGUAUAGUUUUGGCAGAGUACUUCAACAUGAUAUUUUGGCAACAGGUAUCUGAUUCAAUGGUAUGUUAUCUUCGAUUUUCCUUACCCAAUUACUUUUGACAGUUUGUAUCAUUGGUGGAUCCAUCAAUUAGUGUUGAUUUUUCGAUACGACGAGAUUGCUAAGUUUUUAUUUUACACUUGAUAAAACUUUUAGUUUUAUAAGUUCUUAGUAUAGUACUAACAUAUAUGUUUUUAUAUUGAUAAAACAUAAUAAACCAUUUUAAUUAAAAUAUAUAGAUUUACGGCUUAUAAUUGGCCCUUUAAAAUUUUACACCAAGAUCCAUGAAUAAUUUAACUUUAUUGAUUUAAACUAGUAUUAUUCCUUCUUUUGUUUCAGAAUUUUGAUGCACGUAGGGCUUGAUGGUGUUGAGAUGGGUCUCAUUGUACACCAUAAACCUCUUGGGAACAAUCAAAGUUAGUUCAAGCUAAUUUUUCAGGAAGUACAGCAGAGGCAAGUCAGUUCAUAGCUUCCUUGCUGAAAAUUUAAUUUAAAUGGGGUUAACUUACUCAUUUUCCUGAAAAAUACUGUCUUGAAAUUGUUUUCGUUGUUUUUAGUUCUUUCUUAUCACAUUGUACUGACUCAUAUUCACCUCUGGCAUUAUGUUAAUAGUUGUUCUAUUGGAAAUGUAAUAAUUUCUAUUGAAGAUUUUGGUUGAGUGCUGCAGGGUUUUUGAAGUUGUUUCCCUCUUAUUAAAAGGAAAAGAAAGGUUAGAAAUAUGCUUUGAAAGGUAUGCAAUUUGUUAUCCUUGCAAUUGAGAUUUUAAACUUUUCUGUGAUUUUUUGUUUUCUUUUGUUAAUGGUCCUACUGAUGAUAUUUUGUUCUUUUAGUUGGGGAUAUAUUGGAUCUGAUUAUUGCAUUAAACUGCUUGAAAAUUAAAUCUGUAAUUAUCUCUAUGUUUUGCCAAUGACUUGAGCUAGUAUUAGCUCAUAUGCAUCUAUGAUAUUGUUGACUUACCAAACAAGGGAGUUCAAAAGAAGCACCCUAAGUUACUAACUUUAUGUUUCAUAAGGUGGUCUAUCGUAGAUACUAACUUUACGUUUCAUACCAUGGCCAUCUUUUGUUUCAUGGAAUUUAUUUCUUUUCUCUAAAAAAAGCUUCCCAUGCUUUUCUUUUGUUCUAUGCCUUGAUUGAUAUAUGAAGAAUUCAUACUCGUGUCCUAUUUGUCUAAGAAUUAUUUAUUUAUUUGUAAUCUUGCUGUCUUGUUAUGUUUGGUAAGGAAGAUCUGCGAGUUGUUAACCGUGUAAUGUAGUUUGUUUGUUUUUCUUUAUAGUUUAUUAUUAUGCCUUACAUACUGCUAUAUCCAACAAAAGAAAAAAGAUUGUGCUUUUGAUUUUGAAAGAGGGUUAGGCAUGUAGAAAGGUAACAUGUGUUUCUUUCAAAAUAAUUUGACUACUAAGCUACUAAGUAAAUAGCUCAUGACCAUUUCUAUGUUUUAAUACAGUUCUUUGCUGCUAAUAUAACUUCCCUAUUUCUUGAUGUGUAGAAAUUGGUGCCUGUCACCUAGCACUUUAGUCAUAGCUGGACUCUUCCACCACCUGCUUAGGCUGAUAUUAUUAAGGCUAACUGAUUUAAGAUUGCAGCCUCCAAUUAUUUGAGUUAGUUGAUUUAAGACAACUCUUACAUAGCUUGAUGAUCUACGUUCACAGUUGAUAUUAUUAAGGUUAGCUGAUUUAAGAUCGCAACUCUUAAACAGCUCGAUGACCUAUGUUAACAACUGGUAUUAUUAAGGCUAGUUGAUUUAAGAUCGCUACCUCUGAUUAUUUGAGUUUGCUUAUUUAAGAUCGUAACUCCUAACAGCUCAUUGACCUACGUUCAUAAUUAAUAUUAUUAAGGCUAGCUGAUUUAAGAUCAUAGCCUUCAAUUAUUCGAGUUCGUUGAUUUAAGAUCGCAACUCCUAAAUAGCUCAAUAACCUAUGUUCACAACUGAUAUUAUUAAGGCUAGUUGAUUUAAGAUCGCAGCCUCCGAUUAUUUGAGUUAGCUGAUUUAAGAUAACAACUCCUAAACAGCUCGAUGACCUAUGUUCACAGUUGAUAUUAUUAAGGCUAGGUGAUUUAAGAUCGCAACUUUCGAUUAUUUGAGUUAGCUGAUUUAAAAUCACAACUCCUGAGCAGCUUGAUGACCUAUGUUCACAGCUGAUAUUAUUAUCACAGCUGAUAUUAUUAAGGGUAGUUGAUUUAAAAUCACAACAUCCUAUUAUUUGAGUUUGUUGAUUUAAGAUCGCAACUCCUAACAGCUCACUGUCCUAUGUUCACAGCUGAUAUUAUUAAGGCUAGUUAAUUUAAUAUCACAGCCUCCAAUUAUUUGAGUUUGCUAAUUUAAUAUCACAACUCCUAACAACUCACUGACCUACAUUCAUAGUUGGUAUUAUUAAGGCUAGUUGAUUUAAGAUCGCAACUUCCAAUUAUUUGAGUUCGUUGAUAUUAGAUCUCAACUCUUAACAGCUCACUGACCUAUGUUCACAGCUGAUAUUAUUAAGGCUAGUUGAUUUAAUAUCGUAGCCUCCAAUUAUUUGAGUUUGCUAAUUUAAUAUCACAACUCCUAACAACUUGCUGACCUACGUUCAUAGUUGGUAUUAUUAAGGCUAGUUGAUUUAAGAUCGCAACUUCAAAUUAUUUGAGUUCUUUGAUUUAAGAUCGUAACUUCUAACAGCUCGCUGAAUUACGUUAACAACUGAUAUUAUUAAGGUUUGCGAUUUUCGGUAUUCUAAUAAUUCAUUUGAUUUAAUCUCGCAACUAUCAUUUUUAAAGCUUGCUAAUUUCUUUGAUAAGGUGAAAGACAAAUUUUUACUUAUGAGAAAUACAGUUCUUAGUGUUCUACAACACAAUUUGUUUCCUUAAAACCAUUUCUCAAAUAAUCAUUUAACUUCAGUACUACACUAUUAGACAAUGGAACCUACUCAUUAAAGUUGUUUAAAAUUUAUGUAAUAUGCCCCUAAUUAUAUGUUCCACACAUCUAAGUUUGUCUUAGAAGAGUCAUUUUGUAAUUUUUCUUCAACAAGGUGUGGGACAAAUUGUUAUACAAUUAUAAUAAAAUAUAUAAUAACCAAUCCGAGAUCCAACCCAAUGAUCUGACUCGAAAUACCCAUGAUUCAAAUAACCUUAAACACUCUAUUUAGGGGGGAUUCGCCUUUUUUUUUGGACGAAGACACCAUGCUCCUCCAUCUUAACUCUCAAUCUUGAUCUUCGUUGAUAUUGUGUGGAUUAACAAUUAGUAUGUUCUCUCACAACCUUUUGUAAAGUAUUUCAAAAUUCUAUACGAUGUUAGUCUUAGAAUUUUGAGCAAGCACUAAAAGAAGAGAUGAUAUUCUAUUUUCUUUUUCUUUUUUUCAAAACUUCUUUUGAAUAGUAUAAAAUAUAAUAAAGGAAAUUUGGGAUUUUUAUGUACUGUUUUCCAUAUAUAUCAAUUUAUUUUAAAACCUAAAUAAUCCACAUUAGCAAAAUAAAUUCAGUAAGAUUUUAUUAUAUUAAAAUAUGUAAAACACAUUUCACACUAUUUUAAUUACACCCUUUAUAUAUGUGCAUCAUGUACAUGUAUUGUAUUUAAUUUUAACAUUGUCAAACUAAAUUAAUUAUAAGAAUGUUUCUAUAUCAAUUUAACUCUUGUGACAUGUAACUAUAAUCUCAACUUUCAUUGAAUUCCAAUCGUUCUAAUCAAAGAGUGUGACAUUGUAGGAUCCUUUAACAUCGAUGUAAUAUUAAAACAAUUCUAAUAUUAUGAACAGUGAGUGGCAUAUAGCAACCCAUCUUACUAAUUAGUUAUGAGAAGUCGUGGUCCGACAUAACCUUUCUAUGAUAAUAUCAUUAUGUGGUAUAUCCUUUUUAAUUGUGAUAUCUAGAUUAAACACAAGUUAUGCAAUAGUUACGCUUGUAUAACCUAAUAUUUUAUUUCUUGAAUCCGAAGUAGAUUAAGAUAAACAAAUGAGUUUGAUAUCUCAUAUCACAUCAUUUGAGUAUGACCAUGUAUUUCUAAUCUCGCUUGAUCAAGGUACCCCAGAUAUCACUCUUAUUUUAUAGAAGGGACAAGUCUUAUCUUGAUCAUUUAUACUCCACUACAUAGAUUGUGAUAUACCCAACAAAAGUCGUUACAAUACAACCAUUUACAAAAAAUUUUGACUGUGUUAAAGUAUACAACUUUGGGCGUUGGAACUAUAAUGACCUCAAGUCAAAUGAUCAUAUAUAUUAUAAUCACCAUUUUGGCAUGACUAUUAUUUAAUAAUCUAAGAAACUUUCUAAUGGUGGGUCAAUCCAGUACAUUGUUCUCUAUAAUGUACUCAUGUAUUGACUUGAUAUCCCACAGCUAUAACAUCUUGUCAUUAAUCAAUCGCAUAUUAAUAUACAUUUUUAUUGUUUAAGCCUACAAUAAAAUUUGACCAAGGAAAUUUAUGAAUAAUUAUAUUAUUCUUAGGACUUUAUUAUUAAACAUUUUUUUAAAGCACGAGAUUGAUAAUUUUCUUUUAUUUUCUUGAAAAUUCGAGUUAAUUUGAUUUCAAUUAUAUUGAACUUCAUUAUAACCUUUUCUAGUUUAAUUUUUUUUUGGCAUGAAUGAAGUGGACAUUUGGAUAUCUUGUGGUUGUUUUUAAAAAAUAAAUCAAUUUUUAUUUUGUUUUGUAUUUUGAGAAAAUUGAAAUAAAAUAUUUUUCAUUCUUAAAAUCUUAGUGGGCUUGAUUCGGAAAAAUGUUAAAAGCCCAGCUUGUUUUCUUUAAAUUAUGGUUUUUCAAAGCCCAAAUUUUGAGCCCAUUUUUAACCCAAUUUGUAAAUAUUUUUUGCCGUAAAAAAUUGAAUCAAAUUUUAAGUAUGUAUUUGCUUUCUUUUUAACGAUCCGAUUUAAGAACCAAGUAAGCUUGUAACCCAACUUCUCCCCUUUUUUUUUAAAUUUUAUUUUUGGUCUGUUCAAAUUGCAACCCAUUUUUACUUUUCAAGACCAUUUUCUUUUUAACCCAAAUGCAAGCCCAAGUUAAAGGCUUGGUUCUUUUAAUUGGAGAUUUGAGCCUAGCCUAACUCAAUUAAUUUUAACUUGAUCUAGGCUUGCUAACCAAGUUCAAACCCAUACCAUUUCCAUGUAACAAUUAGGGUUGGAAACCCUAGCCAACCUCAACGUUGUAUGGUGUGAACACAAGGGAAAGGGGAAGCACAAAUUAAUUGAACGACAAAAAUAAUAUUUUGAAGAGCAUUACAACCCAAAAUGGAACAAAUAAGAAAAAAAAAGAUUAAUCCUAAUACUAGAUUAAAUAACACCAUAAAAAUAACUUGUAAGAACAUGUUAUGGAAGGGAUCCAAUUCUCUUAAGGUCAUUAAUGAUACUUGUGCUUGACAAAUAAUAAAACGAUGCAUUUUAGGUUAGUCUUUUUUGUUUAAGUUCAACAAUGUGUUUUUGGUAGGCGGUUACAAUUGUCAAAUAAUAACUUCCAUAACCAACUUGUAAUUGUUGUUUUCUUUCUAUUUUAAGUAAAGAAGAAAGAAUGGGAAUGAUUAUGCAUUCGGUGAAUGAAAUCUUCUUCUCUUUCAUUUUCUCUCUACUUCCUUUUUGUUCUUGUUCUUCUUCUUCUUUUCUAAAUCUAUCGUAAUAACAGUAUCAGAGCCUAUCAAUCCUCCAUAGCCAGUGAUAGAGUUACAACGUGUCUUUAAAAAGAGGUUGGUCAUCUUCUGUAACAUCUCAAAAUAGUGCUUAAGAGUUCUAAGGGUAUUUUAGGAAUUUUAGCCUUAGAGCUUUCAAAAACUCGUGGCAUGAUAUAUCGAUAAUUUUCUCGAUUAUAGUUUUUAGAAAAUCAAAUCAAUUUCUGAAUGUGCUUUAAAAACCUUUAAUUUUAAAAAAUGACUAAUUUACAAUAGAGUCAAAACUGUGAGUGUUUAUAUUGCAGUUUUGCCAAUUUUUAAAAUUUCAGUCUAUUUCUUCCUCUAAUGGCAUAUUUAUGCUAAUUUCUUCCUCUCCCCUCCCUUAUUGUCGUCCCUUGUUCUCCCGAAAUUAAGCCACCCAAUUUUGAUUUCCAAACUAUAAGCUUUAGAUUCUUUCAACGCCCAAGCCUUAAACAUCCAUAGAAUCUCUUUAAAACACCCAAAAACUCCAUUGAUUUCACCAUUGUCAAGCUUUGGAAUUUUCUAGGUUUGUAUCAAAAGUUCGAUUUUCUUCAAUUAAAGGUAAUGUUUUGAUUCCUUAUGAGUUUUUCAUGAUAUCUAGUCCUUAAAACUAAAUUAUUAGCCAUUGAAUCGCACGUUUUAAACAAAAGUAAAAAAUUGAGACAUUAAUCAGGAAUUUUGGGAUUUUGAGUAAUAACAUCAUUUCUAGGUAUUUUUCAACUCGUUUUAUCAUGAUUAGAAGGUUUUUAAACUUGAAGUUUCAUUAAUGAUUUCUUAUGUUUUAAUGAAUUUUGUGAAAAUUUUCAAAAAGAUGUUGAAAAAUUUUGAGUACCAUGAAUUAUGUAGUUUUUAGUGGUUUAAGGGUUGAAGAUUAAGCGUAGAUGACUAAUUAGAUGAACGGAAUUCGUUUUAGGUGAAAAUGUUAAGCGUAGACUGAGUUAUAAGCAUUCUAAGUUUGUUUUGUUAAAUGUUUUGGUUACAUGAGAACUUAGAAUAGGAUGAUGCUUUAGUUGGUUUAAGUGAGUCCUUGACUACUACCUAAUUGUGAAUAUUGUAUGGUUGUUAUGUGUAAAGCCUCAGAUUCAUUAGAGCCUUCUACAAGUUAAAUGAAGAGCUGGUUUGAGCUUUUGAGUUCUUAGCGAAAGAAUAGUGGUGAGUGUUUGGGAUCACUAAUCGUAGACACGAGUCAUGUGAUAUUUGGGAAUUUAGUAGUAGCCUAAACCUUUACUCUAAAUUUCAAGUGUAAGUUUUCUUGUAUCUAUGUUCGUUUUAUAGUUUUGUGCUUAUAUGAUUAUGAAAUUGGGCAUGGUGAUGAGAAGCUCAAAUCUGUGAUAUGUGGAUAUGGUAACUAUUGUGAAAAGUGCAAAUGUAUACAUGAUAUAUAUAUGUUAUAUGACAGUGAUAGGGUUUUAUAAAAGAUGCUAACAUGCAAUGAUAGUGCACGGAUAAUCGGUAAGUGAUAUGUGAUUGUUUUUCCGAAUAUUUUGGCCUUGUGAUCUUGAUACCAUUGGAUAUAAUUGACAUGCCAUAAGAUUGCGAGUACUCAUCUAUAUGUACAGUGAUUUUGGGAAUUGAAACCUUAGGACAUAUUAGAAGGGGAAGGGAAUGUGAGUUAAGCUCCAUUCAAUAAGACAUGUGAGGGGAAAUAAGGAGUGUUGGCUAUAUGCUACAUUUCUGGGACAUGUUUGACAUUAUGAGUCUAUGUGGUGUGUUAGAGAUUCGUGUACUCGAUGAAUGAUGAUAGAGCUCACUUCAUGUUUGAUACCUCAAGUGUCAAUUUAUCGUUAUAUAUGACUUGUGUGAAAUGUGAUAUAUGCUUGAUUAAAUGUGUGUUACAUGAUUUAUGUUUGAAUGAGUAUGUAACUGAUGUAUAGAUGAACCAAUAGAUAAUGCAUGGAUAAACACUCUAUGACAUUAGACAUAAGACUAUUGUAAUUUUAUUUGUAACAUCCCUUAUCUGUACCCGAGACCGAGACAAGGUAGGAGACAUUACCGUACAUAAUCAGUGCAUUUUCGCAAAAUACGAAUCAUAAAAUUUCAUUCCAAAUUGAAAUCGAUCAAACAAGAUCAUAUUAUCCUUAUUAUGGACCUAUAAGGUCCAAAACAUACAUUAAAAACAAUCUGAAACUAAACUGAGAACUAAAAAAAACUAAGAAAAAUUUCUAGGUUUAAGCUUCACAAGCCCGUGUGGAGGUAAUACACACGCCCGUGUGCUUUGGGACACGCCCGUGUCCCAUACCCGUGUGGAAUUUUUAGAAUUUAUUUUUUAUUUCAAACUUACAAGGGUUUUUGCACGGCUAAGUACACGCUUGUGUCUCUGGCCCGUGUCCCUCACACGGCCUAGGCACGCCUGUGUCAUCGCUUGUGUCCAAAAACUUGGAUAUUCUGUUUAUGAUGUCAUUGCUCAUUUAGAGGCACACGGCCAAGGCACACGGCCAAGGCACACGGCCAAGGCACACGCCUAUGUGCUAGGCCGUGUCCUCCACACGGUUGAGACACACGGUUGUCUCUCUACCCGUGUGUUUACUAUCAUGCAUACUGACUUAAAAAUUUUAGGUGCAGGGGACACACGGCCAUUCAGCGUGCCCAUGAGGUAGGUCGUGUGUCACACACAGUCUAGACACAUGCCCGUGUGUCUACCUAUGUGGAUCAUUUAAAGGUUAUUUUCCAAGCCAAUAGUCACCCACAAUCACCCAUACAUUUAAACAUACUUUAUAACAUGCAACAUGACAUAGCAUUCACACAUCUUCAUAAUGUCAUUCUAUUUCACAUUCAUUUGUUGCACCAUUUAAAAGCAUUCCACACCAAUUUCAUGCAUUAUUAAACUUGUUACCGUAACUUCAAAUUUAGCAUUCAAGCAUAUAGUCAUUUUAAGUUAUUAGGUCACCCCUUAUCUUUUAGUAUCAGACUCGUACUUUACCAUACAUUUAUCUAUCAAGAACAUAUCACAUCAUUAUCAUGCACUCACUAAGCAAUAACAUAUCCUACCAUCAAAACACUAGCGCAUGCAUGCAUGGGUAAUUAGAUUACAACCCAAAUGAUCAAAUAUAAGCCAUAUCACAUGGUCAAUACAUAAUGAAUCAUCAUUGUUAUAGGCCUUCACAAUUUGGCCAAAUAGCAUGGCACAUAUCACAAAAUGACCAAGUUUCCUAUACAUGCCAUACUUAAAAUAAUAAUUUUACUAUACCUAAUAGUCUUUUGAUAGUGUGAUCGAAUACUCCGACAACUCCCGAUUCCUGAGCUAGCUUGGCAGAACUACAAAGGGUGGAAAAAGAGGGGAGUAAGCAUUAAAACUUAGUAAGUCCACAUACAAAUAAUAUGAAAUGGUAGCAAGGAAUCAACAUGCAGAAACAUAGCAACAUAUACAUAAAGGCUUCAUCAUUCAAACCUUUUUGCUUACUCAUCAUACGUACAUAUAUACUUACUCAUCAUAAAUCGAUCUUUAUUAAGGCAUUACUCAUAGGUUUAGUAUACAUACCUGAACUCAUCGUAAAGUAUCCAUAACCAUACCUCUUGCAUAUGUCCUCCUCGGGACUCUCAUUACAUUCAUUACAUUACCCGUUGGACACUCGGAAUACUAUUGGAUAUGCGGAAACCUUGCAUAUAAGUGGCACAUUUACAAAUGUAGCCGAGGCUACCACAUAACAUGUAAUACAUCCAUAAUGAACUCGGAUCUCUCAAUGAGCUCGGAUGUUACAUGAAUCGCAUCCAUUAUGAUGAAUCGCAUCCAUUAUGAACUCGGACCUCUUAACGAGCUUGGAUGCUUACAUCUAUAAUGAAUUUGAACCUCUUAACGAGCUCAGAUGUCAUAUAUCGCACGAACCCGGACCACUCAACGAGUUCGAACUUCUUAGUUCCUAGUGACAUGUCACUUGUAUCCAAAACUAUUCUUAAGGUUCAAACGGGAUUUUUCCUCACUUGCAUAUAGUAUCUCCAUCGUACUUGCUCGUAACGUCGUGGAUAACGGCCAUAAUAACAUUCAUGCUUUCAUAACAAUCGACAACCAUAUAACUCAUAAUUAUAAUAAAACAUUUGUUACAAUAUAUUAAAGCAUUAAAACAUACAACAACACCACAUUAUUUACAUAUGUACUUACCUCGGUACAAAAUGAUGAUAAUUGAGCCUAACCGUCGUAUACUUUAUUCUUUCCUCGAUCAAGUCUCGGUUCACGUUUUUCUUAAUCUAUAAUGUCAAAUUUAACUUAUUUAUUAUUCACAUCGUUCGAAUGGGUCCAUAAAUCAUACUUUUAAAAUUUUAUAUUUUGACCCCAAAACUUUCACAUAUUUGUACUUUGGUCUAUAGACUCGUAAAAUGAAAUGCAUGCAUUUUCUUGGUUAUCCAAGCCUAGCCGAGCCUUCACUAAGCUUAUAUCAGCUCAUAUUUUCACUUAUUUCCCGUUAUUACUAUUUUCUUUUACACUUUUAUAAACAAAUCCCUUGUUUAGGUGUUUUUACUAAAAAUCUAGUAAAAUAUGUUUAUCAUGCAUCAAACAUUCAUAUUCCUUCGUUAAUCAUCAAAAUACAUGCAUGUUACACAUGAGUCAAACUUUAUACAUAAACCCUAGUUCAAAAUAUAGCUAGAAAUGGGUAGAUCAUGUUUUCAAGGACUUAAAAAACACAAAGAACAUUAAAAACGAGGAUAGGAUGCACUUACAAUCAAGCUUGAAAAUGUUAAAAAAACCCUAGCUAUGGUAUUUUGCAAAUUUCGUCAAUGAAGGAAGAAGAUGGACACCAAUUUUGACCUAUUUUUCCCUUUUUAUUCUUUUAAUUACCAAAUGACCAAAAUGCCUUUAGGGUUUUUCUUUCACAUUUUUUUCCUAUGCAUGUCCACUUUUGUCCAAAACUCUAAAAAUUGGUCAAAUUGCUAAUUAGGACCCUCUAAUUCAAUAUCUAAUGUAAUUUCAUGCUUAAAGCUUUUAGAAUGCAAGUUUUACACUUUAUUCAAUUUGGUCCCUAAAAUGCAAUUAGACAUUUUAUGCAUAGAAUUUCUUCAUGAAACUUUCACACAAGCAUACAUUCAUAACAUAAACCUCGUAAGAAUCAUAAAAUAAUUAUUUCUAUCUCGAAUUUAUGGUCUCGAAACUAUUGUUCUGACUUGUCCUUAAUUCGGGAUGUUACAGUACUUAUAAAUGGUUGUCUUGAAGAUGCAUGAUGAUAUGUUUGUGAUGUGGUUAUUCUAAUAAUUCAUCGAGCUUGUUAAGCUCACUUGCUCCCUUCUUCACCCAUUGCAAAUUAGUUGCGUACUGGUGUGAGCAGUGUGAUUUUUCUUGAGUUGAUCUAAGUUGAUCUUGUAUUAUUUUGUAGGUGUUCUAUAUUUAUUUAUGUUUUGGAGAAAAGACAACCUAAUCGACUUGUUUAAUAUCGUGAUGUGUUUGGACUAUUUGUCGAUUUUAAUUUUGUUUUUUUAGAGGUUUAUGAGUUUAUAUAUUUGCUUAAGUUUAUGAAUAUUGAUGAUGGCAUGAUGAUACUUGCUUGGACACAUUUUUGGUAUUUUGAACUAUUGAUUAUGCCGUUUGGAUGGUUAUUUGUCUUAGUAGUUGAUGCAUGAUUAUUAGAAACAUAUUUGGAAUGAAUUAACUACAUAUGUAUGAUGCAUUUUUUAGGUCUGGAGUAGAGGUAUCAAUAAUUAGGUUUUAAAAAUUGGUAACUUUGAACUUGUAACUUGUAAGAAGUCAGAAUAGAGUUUUGGUAUCGAUACCUUUGCUCGAGUAUCGAUACUUGGAGUUAAAGUAUUGGUAUUCAUAAUAGGUACCGAUAAUUUUUGAUACUUCGGGUUUGUAAUCGAGAAAUAUAAUUCAAUUUGGUAUCAUUUUUCCUGGUCGUAUUGAUACCACUUAAAGAAAAUAUCGAUACCCUAGUUUCAGUAUCGAUACUUAUGGACAUGUUUUGAAAAUUUUACUAAAUGGACCUUAGCGACUAGACCAGGUAUAGGGUGUUAUAUCUUCAGCAGGAAGUUACCCAGCUUGAAAUCGAAUUAUCUCAGUAGGACACUAAGCUUGACAAUCAUUUGAAGGAACUUCGGGAUGGCUUUCGUGGUGAGAUUAAAUCUGAGUUAUAAAAUUUGUUUGAGUAAUAUUUGGGUAAUCCACCCUCUAUUCCUACAAUUGAGGCUCUGUAGGAUAAAAGAAAGGGCCUUUUAGGUGGCCCUUCACCUAAUUUCCCUCCAUAAAACAUUGAUUGUUUCCCUUUGAUGGAUCUAAGAUAUAUGGGGACACCUUCAUGUUCCAGCAGCAUGAAACGACCUUUGUGUUCUUAUAAGCGAGAGUAUCCUAAAUUUGAUGAUAUUGAUUUCCGCAGAUAGUGGUCCAUGCUAGAGUACUACUUUGAAGCUGAGGGUAUUAUUGAUAGUGCCAAGGUAAGGACCAUGAUGCUUUAUUUGAAAGGGAAGGCACUCAAUUAACAUUAUUUUUAUAUUAAAAACAAAGAGGGUUUCAUUUUUUGACAUGAGAUUUUUAUGAUUGUAGUUUGAAAAUGAGAGUUGGUUCUAGCUCCUUUCGAGACCUUAUGGCUGAAUUGGUUUACCUGAAGCAGCAUGGCUUAGUUGAUUAAUUCCACGAUGACUUUGUAAGUCUCAUUAACCAACUUCAGUUAUUUGAAAAUUAUACCUUAUGCAUUUUUACGAGUAACAUAAAAUUGGAAAUUGGGCAAUACUUACAAUUGUUCAAACCUAAUACAUUUGUAGAAAGAUUCUUAGUUUCUAGGCAAGUUGAGAACAUCUCGCUUAACUCUCAAAAGAAAUAUCCUUCAACAAGAGUUGGUGGGCACACUCAUUCCUUGAACUUGUUCCACACCAUAAAAGUUAAUCUUACUUCAACUACCACUUUUGCUUCUAGUGGAUCUCAUCCUGGCGCAAGUAGUUAUAAGACUACUAAUAAGUGUUGCAAAAAAUUCGAUUUGAAAACGAUUUUCUUGCAUAGCAAAAAAUUAAAAUUUUAAAAAUCGACUCGGUUUGUGAUAUUUAUAGCGAUAAACCUUAACAAAAGUUAUACCUAUGUUUCUGGCUUAAUGGACGUUCAUUGUUCUUAACUUUCAACCAAACGAUCUUUUUCGCUAUUCUUGUACCACGAACUGCUUCGAGUGCGGGUUUGAACCAAUUGAAUCGAAACAUAGAACUAGAAAAACUUUUUUUGGUGAAAAUGGAAAUUUUCUCUUCUUAAUAGAAACCAAUAUAAUUGUUCUUCUGGAAAAAUAUAUUUAAUAGUUGAGAAUAAAUUCGCUCUAUUUUUUGGUGGAGUAACAAUCUCUAAAGGUUGUGUAAAUAGCUCAAUUGGUGCCAUCUAUUUAUAGGGAGAGAAUGUAAAAUCCUUAAUGAAUUCUAGAGGUUUAUUUCAAAUAGAAAAACAACUUCCUAGUCCAACUAGGAGAGAGAGAGGGGCUAAUAGGGUGUGUUUCCCUUCAUAUGUAUUACGACAAGGAUUCAGGCCUCUCUUGCAUCAAGUCUAAUUACAAGAACUUAUUGAGCCAUUUGACCCAAUAAUCUGUAAUGUGAUCCAACCUAAUUCAACUUUUCUAUUUCCCAAAAUAAAAUUUAAUAUUCUAUAGUAAAUAAUUUUCUUAUCCCUAUUUUACCUAGUUAAAAUUUUGAGAAAAUAUAUUCAAUAUUUCAUAACUCAACAUGUUCAUUAUGACUGAAUGAUUUAUUUUCAUUUUUGGGCUUCAAAACAGCUCAAAAACAUAGACUCAUCCUUUCAUUCAUUUUUAAGUAAUCCAUAUAGAAUUGGAAAUGAAUCAUUUCCAUUUUUGGAAAUCUACAUUCAUGUUUAAAUUAUUCCAUUUUUCCAUUUCGGAAAAAAAGUCAUAAUCACUCCUAAAGUUUUUCAUUUCUCUUUUCAUAUUCAUUCUAUUCAUUUCUAUUCAAACUCACAAUUCAUUUCUAGUUUUAACGAGUUAGCGAGGAAACCAAUUGGACAUAUGUAAUUAGGGGUUAAAUGAUCUAUAAUUAACUUUCAGCUUUUCUCCUAUUAAUUAUAAAGUCAUUUACUCACGAAGUCAUUCCAUUAUAGGAUCGUGACUAAACUCUUUCUAACGACAUACCAUUACAAAAACAACUACUUAGUGUUUGUCCAAUGACAUUGUCAUAAGUGUGUUACCUUAUGGUCCUAUUUUAUUUCAUAUAACCAUUUCGUAUUCCAUCAUAAAAAGCCAAUUACUAUUAAAGAAUAAAAAAAUCAUUCAUCACAAAAACGAAAAACCAUUGGCCACAUUUACUUUUCAUGAACUAUAAAAUGCCAAUGAGAGGAUAUCAUUUACCCAUGUCUCGAGCUAUGAAUUCGAAUGUUAUGAAUGACGCUACGUACUAUAGAAGUCUUACACUCAAUGCACCAAUUUUCGGUUUCUUAUUUAUUUUAACUCAGGCUUUUAUUUACAUCAAAGUGUAUGAGUAAUGUAUUCAUAGUCCACCAUCCACUCAAGAUUUAGGCAUAUCACACUAUGAGCGUCACAAGUGAGUAAAACCAUAAACGGAUUCAAGAUCUAUUCUUCUUAGGUCUAGUUUGAUGUACUGUCAGUCCAGUCGGUCACAUCUACGUCUCUAUUUUUUAGGAGUCAUUUGCUCGGAUAUUAAGACAAAAUAUCUCCUUUGUUGGACUUGAUAGACGACAUAUUAGUCUUUCAAUCAGUUUUCUUGUAACAUCUCGCCUAGAAAAGUUUCACUGACAGAACGAUGUUCAUAAAAGCAAGGCACAAGGAGAAAGUUUUGAGUACAUGUAUAAGGUUUAAGGAAUUAGUUUUGGUGCCUAACGUGAAAUUUGAUUAAGUAUAAGUUAUUUUCUAUGAGCGUCAUUAUGGUGGACUCUGAACUAAAGGAAAUGAACAAUGGUACAAAUAGUGUAUAAAACAUUCUGAAUGAGGAAAAACCAACUUUUAGGAAAUGUAAGUGUCAUGGAUUAAGAAAGAGCAACAUGUAAGUAAAUAUAUGUGAUAAGGCACAUGACUAUAAGUAAGUAUGAUUAGCAAAAUAGUGUCCGCCCAGGAGUUCGCCUUGGAAUUUAAAAUAGACAAACGAAGAGUGUUUUGUUUGUAAGGCCCUCUGUAAUAGGCAAAUCUAAGAAAUCAGAAUAAGGAUGAGGUGAAAUAUGACUAGUAGGAUGGUAGUCACCCAGGUGUACUCUUUUGGACAUAUAAGAUGUAACAGCCUGACUUUGGGCAAUUUUCUAGAAUGAUUUCGUGAAAAUUUCUUUCGAAAAUUGUUACAUUUAAGCACUCAAUUUUGCAAAAAGCACUAAAAUGUAAAAACUGUAAAAGUUGAGUUCUACAUGCUAGAGGUGUCUAAUUGUUAUGAAAUUUUAAAUUGAAGGUCCUUAGAUGGUAAUUAGACCAUUUUACUUUAAGUUUGACAAAAAUAGACAUGAGGUAAGAGAAUUUUAGUGUUUUGAGAAAAGGAUAUUUUGGUCAUUUAGUAAUUAAAUGAAUUAAAAAGCAAAAAUCAAGCUAAAAUCCUUGUCCAUCUUCUCCCCCUUGUGCCGAAAUUUAUAAGGGAAGCCAUAAAUAGUGUUUGGCCAAUUUCAAGCUCGUUUGUAAGUCUGUUCUUGCCCCGUUUUUAAUGCUCUUUACAUUUUUAAAGUCGUUAUUACUCGAUCUAUCUAUUCUACCAUUAAUUUGAGAAAUGAUUAAGGUCUAAGGUUUGACCCAUGUUAGGUAUGUGUGUAUCUUGAUGUCUAAUGGUAGAAAAUGUGUGUUUGGUGUAUGAUAAACAACUUUUGCUAUGUGAUUUUUGAUGAAAAUGUAAAAAGGACCAAUUUGUAAAAAUGUUAUAAAAUGUGCGUAAAAGUAUGAUUAAAUGAAAAUGUGGGCUGUUAUAAGCAUGAAAGAGAUUCAGCUAUGCUUGGGUCUUGAAUAAAUUGAAUAGAUUUCGAUUUACGAGCCUAAGAACCAAAAUGUAAAAAUGUUAAAGUUUAGGGGCAAAAAUAUAAUUUUUUCCAUAAUAUAAUUUUUUGACUGAAUUGAAUAAUGUGAAUAAUAAAUGAGUUAAAUUUUCUAUUUUAGAUUAAAAAAAGAGGUUCAGACCUAGAUUUAGGGAAAAGAAAAGUGUUUGACGAUUAGGUCUCAUUGCUACUAUUUGUACCAAGGUAAGUUCGUAUGUAAGUAAUGCAUCAUUUUAAAUAUGUUUUUAAAUGCUUUAUUAUUGUAUGAAUUGUGAUUGACCCUUGGACGUAUGCGGCAAAGUUACGAAAAGCAUGAAAUUUUAGUUGAACCAUAGGAAUAGAUAGGAUAGAAAUGUCAUGACAUUAGGGUUACUAAGAUUACAUGUAAGAUCAUAUCUAAGAUAUGACAUCAAUAUGAGACUUCAUGUAAGACCAUAUCUGAGAUAUGGCACCGAUAUGAGGCUCGAAUAAGGCCAUAGCUGGGCUAUUGGCAUCGAUACUAGAUCUCGUGUAAGACCAUAUCUGGGAUAUGACAUUGUUAUGAUACUAUGUGUACAAGAUUCUCGAGUAUCCUUUAGUAUUCCAAGUGGCUCAAUGGGUAAUUUAAUGAUGUAUGUCAAAUGUGAGUUGCAUGCAAAUCCAAUUCGAGAUUAUUUAGGUAUGUAAGUAAAACUCAUACGUAAUAAGCUCGUUAUAUGAUGAACCCUCGGUAUGGUUAUGAUUGAGUAAGUUAUUAUUAUAAGAUCUUAAUAAUAUUUAUGCCAAUUAUCAUCAUGUUAAUUGUAUGUUAAAUGUUGGGUUAUGAUGUCUAUUAUUUGCAUGGGAACUUACUAGGCUAUAUAGCUUACUCCCCUUUUCUUUCCCUUGUCUUUUAGUGUCACCAAGCUAGCUCGAGGAUCGGAGACUGUCAGAGAUCCACUCACACUAUCUACUGAUUAUUUUGGGUACCAAUGAAUUUGACAUUUUGAAUUAUGGCAUGUAUA
rnacentral:lncRNA from 1 species